rnacentral:rRNA from 11 species
CUUCCGUAGGUGAACCUGCGGAAGGAUCAUUAC